ACAAUGCCAUGCUUAGUAGCGGCGAGUGAAGCGGCAAAAGCUCAAAUUUGAAAUCUGGCACCUUCGGUGUCCGAGUUGUAAUUUGAAGAUUGUAACCUUGGGGUUGGCUCUUGUCUAUGUUUCUUGGAACAGGACGUCACAGAGGGUGAGAAUCCCGUGCGAUGAGAUGCCCAAUCCUAUGUAAGGUGCUUUCGAAGAGUCGAGUUGUUUGGGAAUGCAGCUCUAAGUGGGUGGUAAAUUCCAUCUAAAGCUAAAUAUUGGCGAGAGACCGAUAGCGAACAAGUACAGUGAUGGAAAGAUGAAAAGAACUUUGAAAAGAGAGUGAAAAAGUACGUGAAAUUGUUGAAAGGGAAGGGUUUGAGAUCAGACUCGAUAUUUUGUGAGCCUUGCCUUCGUGGCGGGGUGACCCGCAGCUUAUCGGGCCAGCAUCGGUUUGGGCGGUAGGAUAAUGGCGUAGGAAUGUGACUUUGCUUCGGUGAAGUGUUAUAGCCUGCGUUGAUGCUGCCUGCCUAGACCGAGGACUGCGAUUUUAUCAAGGAUGCUGGCAUAAUGAUCCCAAACCGCCCGUCUUGAAACACGGACCCCA
rnacentral:rRNA from 1 species